AAAGGAAGUCGAGAAUGGACCCGCAAACAGUGAAUUGUACUUCCGAUUGAUG
ensembl:ncRNA Y54G2A.59 ncRNA